rnacentral:lncRNA from 1 species
GUGGGAUCUGGGGCUCUGGGGUGCUGGGGUGGGAUCUGGGUUACCAGGGGUGAGAUCGGGGGCGCUGGGGUGAGAUCUGGGUUACAGGGGUGAGAUCGGGGGCGCUGGGGUGAGAUCUGGGUUAGGGGGGUGGGAUCUGGGGCUCUGGGGUGAGAUCUGGGGUGCUGGGGUGAGGUCUGGGUUACAGGGGUGAGAUCUGGGUUACAGGGGUGAGAUCUGGGGCGCUGGGGUGAGAUCUGGGGUGCUGGGGUGAGGUCUGGGUUACAGGGGUGAGAUCUGGGGCGCUGGGGUGAGAUCUGGGUUACAGGGGUGGGAUCUGGGGUGCUGGGGUGAGAUCUGGGUUACAGGGGUGAGAUCUGGGGCGCUGGGGUGAGAUCUGGGGCGCUGGGGUGAGAUCUGGGUUACAGGGGUGGGAUCGGGGGCGCUGGGGUGAGAUCUGGGGCGCUGGGGUGAGGUCUGGGUUACAGGGGUGAGAUCUGGGGCGCUGGGGCCAGCUGAAGCACGGGAGCAGGGGAAGCCUGCUGCCUUACCUGCCAUGACAGCUGGAGAGUGGCAGUUAGGGGAGCCCCUCCCCCAACGGGGGGUUGCGUGACCGUUGGGGUCAGCCCCUUUCCCCCAGGCUUGAGAUGGUUUGAUUUUUCGUAGGCAAACAUCCUUCCCAUCCCAGUUGUUUCCCAUUCCAAUGAUCAGUGAC